rnacentral:misc_RNA from 1 species
AAAGUCGUAACAAGGUCUCCGUUGGUGAACCAGCGGAGGGAUCAUUACCGAGUUUCUACUCAUAACCCAUUGUGAACUUACCUUUUGUUGCUUCGGCGGACCGGGGGAGCCCUCUCGGGGGCCGACCCGCCGCCGGGGAAAACCAAACCUCUGUUUUUACCAUGUGUAUCUUCUGAGUUAAAACAUAAAUAAAUCAAAACCUUUAACAACGGAUCUCUUGGCUCUG